AGUCAUAGAUUAGAUUCUGAUCGCUUUGAGCCAUUGUAUGCGUAUCGUCCGGAGACAAUGCUCCAGUGAAUCAAGCCUAUCAUCGCGAAAGGCGGGAGGAUUCCUCGCUCCACCACGUUGGAUUCAGAAGUAAUUGCCGAAGAUGUAACGCGAAGCCCAUGGUAUGCGGAAUUUUGAGCAGAGCCGCCGCGAUUGAGAAGUCCGCGCAGGUAAUACGACCGGAGGAAACGGAGAGUUCUUCCUCCUUCGCAGUUCGACGAAACCGAAAACGCCGAGCCGUUAAGUCGAGAGAGGAUCGGGCGAGGCAGCGACGAGUGAACCGCACGAAGCCGGUAGCGCGGAGCGAAACAAGC